CGUGUAUAAUAGUGUGUGCUAACAUGAGAAGAAGGCUUUAUAGAAUAUAAGAAGGCUUACAGUGGGCUGCCAAAGUAGACUUCUAUGACUUUAAAUGGAUAAACACUCAGCUCCCGCCGGAUAAAAGAUAGCUAUAUGUGAGCUAACUAGAGUUUAGAAAUGAGGAAACACUCAAAAGAUGUGUAUGCAGAGUAAAAUGGACAGG
rnacentral:lncRNA from 1 species